UCAGCAACAACGUGAGCUCCAGGAAGUGGUGACGCUCUCCGGUGGUGCGUUUCCAAGGCAGCGGCGACAAACCGGAGGAAGCAACGCCCCAACGUGGACACCAGAGGACAGAAGGUGAACAGAAACUCUACUUCCUGGCAGGGGGCCAGAAUCCCCGUUAGGGGGCUGACGUGGAAAACAUCAUCUGUGGCCAGGUGGAACUGGAUAUGGGAGGGCUCUGGGGUUUCCCCUGGAAGCAGAGGGCGCAGGUUGGGCUUCAAGAUCUGCCAGUGGAAAGAGUGAGGGUUACAUGGGCUGAAACGGACAAAAUGCUCUGCGGUGAGGUCGUGCGCCUCUCCCACCACGGGGGGCUCCUUCGUCCCAGAUACAGACACAAGCUCGAGUGCAA